rnacentral:rRNA from 1 species
CCUACGGGAGGCAGCAGUGGGGAAUUUUGGACAAUGGGCGCAAGCCUGAUCCAGCCAUGCCGCGUGUGGGAAGAAGGCCUUCGGGUUGUAAACCACUUUUGUCAGGGAAGAAACGGCUCCUACUAAUAUUAGGAGUUAAUGACGGUACCUGAAGAAUAAGCACCGGCUAACUACGUGCCAGCAGCCGCGGUAAUACGUAGGGUGCAAGCGUUAAUCGGAAUUACUGGGCGUAAAGCGUGCGCAGGCGGCUUUGCAAGACAGAUGUGAAAUCCCCGGGCUCAACCUGGGAACUGCAUUUGUGACUGCAUGGCUAGAGUACGGUAGAGGGGGAUGGAAUUCCGCGUGUAGCAGUGAAAUGCGUAGAUAUGCGGAGGAACACCGAUGGCGAAGGCAAUCCCCUGGACCUGUACUGACGCUCAUGCACGAAAGCGUGGGGAGCAAACAGGAUUAGAUACCCUGGUAGUCCACGCCCUAAACCGAUGUCAACUGGUUGUUGGACGGCUCGCUGUUCAGUAACGAAGCUAACGCGUGAAGUUGAUCGCGUGGGAGGUACGGCCGGCGAGGUUAGUAAACGUACGAAGUAGUAGUUAGUACGACGUAGAGACGUUAGCCGACGGACGACGACGAGGGAGGUUAGGG